rnacentral:misc_RNA from 1 species
AGGACAUGCUGAAUAACAUAAUUCCCAUACUGAUCUUGUGCCAGAAUGCAAACAGACUGCAUAAUCUCAUCCAUAAUAAUGUGCUGAGUAUUCAUGUUCUUACAGUGUUCCAGGACCCUCUGAAUGACGCGACAGCCAUAAGGAUGGGUGGAAAGUGCUAGAACUUGUCCAUAGAAAGCUGAGAUAAUAAACUGAAUUCGAACUUCAGGUACACACUCUAUGCACUUCUGAAUAACAUGAUUACCAUUCUGAUCACGAACACAUUUCAUAACUGAACCAUCAAGCUCUGCCACCAUUUGAGUCUGCUGAUCCACAUCAACCACCUCCAAGGCCUGUGAUCACUUCUACAGUAUUGAGUGCUUUACACAGCCAAAAUA